rnacentral:lncRNA from 1 species
CCAACUUGCCGUUCGCGCCUCCCAUAGUGCGCCGUGGGAUUUUGCCCCUGUGUCCUCGGGCAAAAAGGGGUCGUGCGCGCGCAGGCGGGCUGGCCUCGCGUAAGGCCCUCUGUUCCCCUUUGCUUCUCUCUGUCUCUUUUUCCUCUGCAAAAAGAGUAGGCGAUACCUUUUAUUUUUUUUUGAUCUUUUAUUCAAAAGGUUGUGACAGCGGCUCUUUUCUCGCGCUUGGCGGGGAAGGCGAUGUCGAUCCUUUUUCCCCUCGUCCUUUCGCUUCUUUUUUCCACGGGCAAAUAGAGGGGGUCGGCUCUACGAGAGCACGCACACAGGCCCCUAGAGCGCGCGAGCAGACAGGAAAAGGGGAAAAAAAGAAGAGAUUGCAUGUGAGCGCGGGUCGCUUUGUGGGCGUGUUCGGCACAAGCAGCAGGGACCCUUUUUCUUUGGCAUGCGGAAAAAAGACGCGCAAGGAACGCGUGUACGUGGCGCGCAGCGAAAGCCGGCCGAGGGCAAGGGAAAACAUACCAUGCGACCCAGUAUCUUGUGUUUGGUGCCGUUUCCCGAGCACAGCGCCGUGCCAUCGGUCGACCAGAGGGAGCAGCCUUUGGCACGGUGCCGACACAACUCGCGACGCACAUACUGCGCCGUCUGGGGCGAACGCAUGCUGCACGCCGCCGCCGCGCGGCACACCGUGUCGUCCCGUGGACACCGGGCUUUGCGCGCAUACGUGAGCACGUGGACGUGGCCAUACAGUACGGCCUCGACAUAGACGCGCGCGUCCCACGGGCAACGGUGCGCGCGCGCAUACGCCAGACAUUCGAGGUGGCCCGCACCGGCGGCGGCCGCGCACGUCGCCUCGUCCCAUGGACAGCCUCGUUCGUGCAGGUGGCGCAACGCCUCUAGUCGGCCCCGCGAUGCCGCUGCCACGGUGGCGGUCACGUCCCAUGCGCGUUCGAUCCUCCCCAAGGCGGUCAACACGUCGACGCGGCCCUCGCCGGCGGCUGCGGCAAACGCCGCCGGCGUCGGUCGGCAGCCGAGGCACAGCAGGCGCUCGAUCAGCGCUGUGUCGCCGCGCCGUGCGGCGAGGGCCAGCCAGUGCGACGCUCCAGAGGGCACCAGAUGCCCGUCGUCUUUCUCCUCGUUAUCCGAGGCGCCGCCGAGUAGACCCCAGGGGUCCCGGUCACGCUUUCGGCCGCCGGUGCAACGACGAUCGGCGACAAUGCGCGACCACAAGAGGUCGACGCAGGCGACGUCGCCGCGCAACGCCACGGCCGCGUCCAUGACGUCGGGCGGGAGCGCGCCCUCCCAACGAGCCAACAGCAACUUGAGCACGUCAAAGUGCGCCGCCCCGGCUGCAGCGGCAAUGGCCGACGCGCCCCACGGGCAUCGAUGACGAAGCAGCCAGGUGACGGCGUCGAUGUGUCCGCCGCGCGCGGCCGCCGCCAUGGUGCUCUUGCCGCGCGGACAACGUCGCGCCUGCAAUAGACGCAGGAGGUGGACGUUGCCAUGUUCCGCGGCGCGAUCCACGUCGGCGCGCGACGGCGGUUUCAACUUCCACAGCCAGUCGAGCACCGCGUAUUGCGCGGCCGCAGCGGCGGCGGACUCGCACGCGACCUCAUCAUACGGAUGGCCGUGCGUCGAUGCAUAGGUCAACACGUCCAGCCGACCGCGCGCGGCGGCUUCGACGCAUACGCCCGGCACCCAGGGAUGGCCGAGCAUGCGGCACAGCACAUAGAGCACCGUGAUACGCCCGUCGCGCGCUGCGCGUAUCGAGGCACGCGCGCGCAUCGGGCAGCCUUCGGCGUGUGCGUACAAGCGCCACGAGACGGCGUCGUCGCCCGCGACACUGGCGAUGUAGGGUCCCACGCGGUCGAUGUUGUCGUCGGACUGCGCGCGUCGGGCGCACGCCGGUUGGGCACGCGACCACGUGUCGAUGGCGAGCGCCCUCCAUCGCGUCGAAACAGCCGGCGCGCUCGCGUAGAGACUGGCGCAGUCUCCGUACCCAAAGACGAUCGACAUCACCUCGUUGGGGAGGUCUUCGAUGGAGCACCGCUCGGGCGCUGCCAUCCUCUAUGUGUGUCGCACCCGACCACGCACCUCGACCUGGCGCGUCCGCCUGCGCAAUGGCACGCUGCGCCCGUCCCGCCCCGGCUCCCGUUGCGUGUUUUCUUUCUGCUCGAUGUCGCGCUCGUCGCGAGAAGAAAACAGAGAGGCACACAGAGCGACAACAACGCAAAGACCAACAGGCUUCCCGCUCGAAUUUGUCUUUUUUUUCCUGUGCGUUUUUUCUUUCUUUUUGCGCGCGUGUGUGUUUGUGUGUCUGUGCCCCGUCUUUUCUUGUGUAUCUUUUUUUUCCUCUGCUGGCCUCGCUGUUGUCUGGUCUCGCGGCGGGCGUGUUGGGUGUCUGUUUGUGCUCGCGCUUGCUUUGGCGACGUGUCGGUGGCCUAGCCCGCCGCGGCCUCUGCGCUUCUCCUCUCUCCCAUGCAAC